rnacentral:lncRNA from 1 species
UACACAAUAGCAAAUUCACAUUAAAGUUAAUUUUCAGAUAUGAAAACACUAAAAAUAUAUUAAAUCACUUUCCUAAUUCAUUAAAAUCAAAAAUAAAAAACCAACAAUUGAAAUCCUUUUAAAGCUUAAAGAAAUUGCAUUUAAAGCUUAAAAAAAAUUAAACUUCGACUUUGAGAUGAUAAUGAUGAAAAUUAAAUGAUAUCAUAACUUUCUCAAAAUCGUGUUGAUAAAAAU